rnacentral:rRNA from 1 species
GACAGAGGUGCCGAGCGUUAGGCGGAAUCACUGGGCUUAAAGCGUGUGUAGGCGGACCGUUAAGUACCUUGUGAAAUCCCCCCGGCUCAACCGGGGAACGGCUGGGUAUACUGGCGGUCUUGAGCCAUCCAGGGGCAGUCGGAACAGACGGUGGAGCGGUGAAAUGCGUAGAUAUCGUCUGGAACGCCGAAGGUGAAAACAGACUGCUGGGGAUGCGCUGACGCUGAGACACGAAAGCCAGGGGAGCGAACGGG